rnacentral:sRNA from 1 species
GAUCAUUAGUGAAUAAACUCGUGUGGGUUGUUGCUGACCUCCUCGGAGGUAUGUGCACACCUGCCAUUGUUUCAUUCAAUCCACUCCCACCUGUGCACUCUCUGUAGGCCAAACCAUCAAUCUUUCAGGCUCUCUAAGGGCCUGGUGUGAGGAACUGCUCCGGCUUUCCUUGGAUGGUGUGGUCUACGUUUUUAUCAACACUGCAUGUAACCGAAUGUCUGUUCUGGGCUCUAUAUGACCCAUAAAACCUUAUACAACUUUCAACAACGGAUCUCUUGGCUCUCGCAUCGAUGAAGAACGCAGCGAAAUGCGAUAAGUAAUGUGAAUUGCAGAAUUCAGUGAAUCAUCGAAUCUUUGAACGCACCUUGCGCUCCUUGGYAUUCCGAGGAGCAUGCCUGUUUGAGUGUCAUUAAAUUCUCAACCUCACUUCCCUUGUGGUGGUGAAGGUUGGAUAUGGGAGCUGCUGGCCUUCUUGGGUCAGCUCUUCUGAAAUCUAUUAGCAGGGCCUUUGUAUGCAAAACUGCAGCUUGGUAAUGAUGGGAUGUCUUACCAGGUCACAGACAAGCAUGUGCUUUGCUCACAGCCGUCUCUUUGAGACAAAYCCACUUGACAAUUUGACCUCAAAUCAGGUAGGACUACCCGCUGAACUUAAGCAUAUCAAUAAGCGGAGGAAAAGAAACUAACAAGGAUUCCCCUAGUAACUGCGAGUGAAGCGGGAAGAGCUCAAAUUUAAAAUCUGGCGGUCUCUGGCUGUCCGAGUUGUAA